GCUUGCUUCAGCAGCCCAUAUGCUAAAAAUUAGAACGAUACAGAAAAGAUUAGCAUGGCCCCCCUCAAGGAUGAUUCGCAAAUUCGUGAAGCAUUCCAUAUUUUA